UCUUGGUCAUUUAGAGGAAGUAAAAGUCGUAACAAGGUCUCCGUUGGUGAACCAGCGGAGGGAUCAUUACCGAGUUUACAACUCCCAAACCCAAUGUGAACGUUACCAAACUGUUGCCUCGGCGGGGUCACGCCCCGGGUGCGUCGCAGCCCCGGAACCAGGCGCCCGCCGGAGGAACCAACCAAACUCUUUCUGUAGUCCCCUCGCGGACGUAUUUCUUACAGCUCUGAGCAAAAAUUCAAAAUGAAUCAAAACUUUCAACAACGGAUCUCUUGGUUCUGGCAUCGAUGAAGAACGCAGCGAAAUGCGAUAAGUAAUGUGAAUUGCAGAAUUCAGUGAAUCAUCGAAUCUUUGAACGCACAUUGCGCCCGCCAGUAUUCUGGCGGGCAUGCCUGUCCGAGCGUCAUUUCAACCCUCGAACCCCUCCGGGGGAUCGGCGUUGGGGAUCGGGACCCCUCACACGGGUGCCGGCCCCUAAAUACAGUGGCGGUCUCGCCGCAGCCUCUCCUGCGCAGUAGUUUGCACAACUCGCACCGGGAGCGCGGCGCGCCCACGUCCGUAAAACACCCAACUUUCUGAAAUGUUGACCUCGGAUCAGGUAGGAAUACCCGCUGAACUUAAGCAUAUCAAUAAGGCGGAGGAA
rnacentral:rRNA from 1 species